rnacentral:rRNA from 1 species
GUAGUCCACGCCGUAAACGAUGAGUGCUAAGUGUUAGGGGGUUUCCGCCCCUUAGUGCUGCAGCUAACGCAUUAAGCACUCCGCCUGGGGAGUACGGCCGCAAGGCUUAAACUCAAAGGAAUUGACGGGGACCCGCACAAGCGGUGGAGCAUGUGGUUUAAUUCGAAGCAACGCGAAGAACCUUACCAAAUCUUGACAUCCUUUGACCGCUCUAGAGAUAGAGUCUUCCCCUUCGCGGGACAAGUGACAGGUGGUGCAUGGUUGUCGUCAGCUCGUGUCGUGAGAUGUUGGGUUAAGUCCCGCAACGAGCGCAACCCUUAAGCUUAGUUGCCAUCAUUCAGUUGGGCACUCUAAGUUGACUGCCGGUGACAAACCGGAGGAAGGUGGGGAUGACGUCAAGUCAUCAUGCCCCUUAUGAUUUGGGCUACACACGUGCUACAAUGGACGAUACAAAGGGCAGCGAAACCGCGAGGUCAAGCAAAUCCCAUAAAGUUGUUCUCAGUUCGGAUUGUAGUCUGCAACUCGACUACAUGAAGCUGGAAUCGCUAGUAAUCGUAGAUCAGCAUGCUACGGUGAAUACGUUCCCGGGUCUUGUACACACCGCCCCGUCACACCACGAGAGUUUUGUAACACCCCGAAGUCGGGUAGAGUAACCCUUUUGGAGCUAGCCGCCGAAGGUGGGACAAAUGAUUGGGGUGAAGUCGUAACAAGGUAGCCGUAUCGGAAGG